UGGGGAAUUUUGCACAAUGGGGGAAACCCUGAUGCAGCGACGCCGCGUGAUUUAGAAGGCCUUCGGGUUGUAAAAAUCUUUUCUAUGGGAAGAAAAUGACAGUACCAUAGGAAUAAGGACCGGCUAAUUACGUGCCAGCAGCCGCGGUAAUACGUAAGGUCCGAGCGUUGUCCGGAAUCAUUGGGCGUAAAGGGUACGUAGGCGGGUAAGCAAGUUAGAAGUGAAAUCCUAUAGCUCAACUAUAGUAAGCUUUUAAAACUGCUCAUCUUGAGGUAUGGAAGGGAAAGUGGAAUUCCUAGUGUAGCGGUGAAAUGCGCAGAGAUUAGGAGGAAUACCGGUGGCGAAGGCGACUUUCUGGCCAUAACCUGACGCUGAGGUACGAAAGCGUGGGUAGCAAACAGG
rnacentral:rRNA from 2 species